rnacentral:rRNA from 1 species
GAUGAACGCUGGCGGCGUGCCUAAUACAUGCAAGUAGAACGCUGAAGCUUGGUGCUUGCACCGAGCGGAUGAGUUGCGAACGGGUGAGUAACGCGUAGGUAACCUGCCUGGUAGCGGGGGAUAACUAUUGGAAACGAUAGCUAAUACCGCAUGACAACAGUUAUUGCAUGAUAACUGUUUAAAAGGGGCAAUUGCUCCACUACCAGAUGGACCUGCGUUGUAUUAGCUAGUUGGUGAGGUAACGGCUCACCAAGGCGACGAUACAUAGCCGACCUGAGAGGGUGAUCGGCCACACUGGGACUGAGACACGGCCCAGACUCCUACGGGAGGCAGCAGUAGGGAAUCUUCGGCAAUGGACGGAAGUCUGACCGAGCAACGCCGCGUGAGUGAAGAAGGUUUUCGGAUCGUAAAGCUCUGUUGUAAGAGAAGAACGAGUGUGAGAGUGGAAAGUUCACACUGUGACGGUAUCUACCAG